rnacentral:rRNA from 1 species
AUGCAGGCGAAGCUGUGCACGCCCUAUGAAGGUGCCGGUAGGGCGUCUUUCUUUUGGUUGGUAGCUGUAACGAAUCUCGUGUGCUGCUUGGCGAAGCUGUACACGCCCUAUGAAGGUGCUGGUAGGGAGUCUUUCUUUUGGUUGGUAGCUGUAACGAAUCUCGUGUGCUGCUUGUGGGCCGGUGUCCCUUGCGGCAGCAGGGUUGCCCUUGGGCGGUGCUUGGUGGUGGUUGGCGGGAUUUGGGAUCUUGCAUCUCGCUCUAGGGGCUCGAUCGCGGUUGUGCUGCCUUUGGCCGUGGGAGCAUGGUGUUGA